GGCCUGCGGCUGCUACACAUGCAGUCGAACGGUGAACAGAGCUUGCUCUUGUGGAUCAGUGGCGAACGGGUGAGUAACACGUGAGCAACCUGCCCCUGACUCUGGGAUAAGCGCUGGAAACGGCGUCUAAUACUGGAUAUGUGACGUGACCGCAUGGUCUGCGUUUGGAAAGAUUUUUCGGUUGGGGAUGGGCUCGCGGCCUAUCAUCUUGUUGGUGAGGUAAUGGCUCACCAAGGCGUCGACGGGUAGCCGGCCUGAGAGGGUGACCGGCCACACUGGGACUGAGACACGGCCCAGACUCCUACGGGAGGCAGCAGUGGGGAAUAUUGCACAAUGGGCGAAAGCCUGAUGCAGCAACGCCGCGUGAGGGAUGACGGCCUUCGGGUUGUAAACCUCUUUUAGCAGGGAAGAAGCGAAAGUGACGGUACCUGCAGAAAAAGCGCCGGCUAACUACGUGCCAGCAGCCGCGGUAAUACGUAGGGCGCAAGCGUUAUCCGGAAUUAUUGGGCGUAAAGAGCUCGUAGGCGGUUUGUCGCGUCUGCUGUGAAAUCCCGAGGCUCAACCUCGGGCCUGCAGUGGGUACGGGCAGACUAGAGUGCGGUAGGGGAGAUUGGAAUUCCUGGUGUAGCGGUGGAAUGCGCAGAUAUCAGGAGGAACACCGAUGGCGAAGGCAGAUCUCUGGGCCGUAACUGACGCUGAGGAGCGAAAGGGUGGGGAGCAAACAGGCUUAGAUACCCUGGUAGUCCACCCCGUAAACGUUGGGAACUAGUUGUGGGGUCCAUUCCACGGAUUCCGUGACGCAGCUAACGCAUUAAGUUCCCCGCCUGGGGAGUACGGCCGCAAGGCUAAAACUCAAAGGAAUUGACGGGGACCCGCACAAGCGGCGGAGCAUGCGGAUUAAUUCGAUGCAACGCGAAGAACCUUACCAAGGCUUGACAUAUACGAGAACGGGCCAGAAAUGGUCAACUCUUUGGACACUCGUAAACAGGUGGUGCAUGGUUGUCGUCAGCUCCUGUCGUGACAUGUUGGGUUAAGUCCCCCAACGAGCGCAACCCUCGUUCUAUGUUGCCAGCGCGUAAUGGUGGGAACUCAUGGGAUACUGCCGGGGU
rnacentral:rRNA from 1 species